rnacentral:pre_miRNA from 1 species
AUGACGUGUAGCAUGCCCGUUGUGAAAUUACUCUGAUGAAUAUUUGUUAUUUAAUUGCUUUUGGGUAACAGGGUGUUAUUGGUUG